rnacentral:rRNA from 1 species
CCUACGGGAGGCAGCAGUGAGGAAUAUUGGUCAAUGGGAGCGAUCCUGAACCAGCCAAGCCGCGUGAGGGAAGACGGCCCUAUGGGUUGUAAACCUCUUUUGUCGGAGAACAAAACCCGGGACGUGUCCCGGACUGCGUGUAUCCGAAGAAAAAGCAUCGGCUAACUCCGUGCCAGCAGCCGCGGUAAUACGGAGGAUGCGAGCGUUAUCCGGAUUUAUUGGGUUUAAAGGGUGCGUAGGCGGUCCGUUAAGUCAGCGGGAAAAUUGCGGGGCUCAACCCCGUCGAGCCGUUGAAACUGGCAGACUUGAGUGGGCGAGAAGUACGCGGAAUGCGCGGUGUAGCGGUGAAAUGCAUAGAUAUCGCGCAGAACUCCGAUUGCGAAGGCAGCGUACCGGCGCCAGACUGACGCUGAGGCACGAAAGCGUGGGGAUCGAACAGGAUUAGAUACCCCGGUAGUC